CUCCUGGAUGGCAUUUUUUGAACCGCCCUGGACCAGAAGGGAGCCUACUUCCCUGAAGGCCCUGACUCCUGUAUGGCAUCACUGGACCUGAGGACUGGGAGAACUAGCCACCCUGAAGAGAAGGACAGACGCCUGGCUGGCUUCACCACCUGCUGAUUGUAGAGUCCUAGGGCCUUGUACAAAUGUAAGUGGCAAUCAGUGGCUACAAUGGCCCUUGGGCG
rnacentral:lncRNA from 1 species